rnacentral:rRNA from 1 species
CCUACGGGUGGCAGCAGUAGGGAAUAUUGCUCAAUGGGGGAAACCCUGAAGCAGCAACGCCGCGUGGAGGAUGAAGGUUUUCGGAAUGUAAACUCCUUUUGGUAGAGGAGAUAAUGACGGUAUCUAACGAAUAAGCACCGGCUAAAUCCGGGCCAGCAGCCGCGGUAAUGCGGAGGGUGCAAGCGUUACUCGGAAUCACUGGGCGUAAAGGGCGAGUAGGCGGGAUAGCAAGUCAGAUGUGAAAGCCUAUGGCUUAACCAUAGAAAUGCAUUUGAAACUGGUAUUCUAGAGUAUGGGAGAGGUAGGUGGAAUUCUUGGUGUAGGGGUGAAAUCCGUAGAGAUCAAGAGGAAUACUCAUUGCGAAGGCGACCUGCUAGAACAUAACUGACGCUGAGGCGCGAAAGCGUGGGGAGCAAACAGGAUUAGAUACCCGGGUAGUC